GGUUCCGUAAGUUGGGCUUGAAAGCUCCGGGGCUUAACCCCGGGAGAUGUCGUUCAAUACUGCGGGGCUUGAGGACAGCAGAGGAAGGUGGAAUUUCCCGGUGUAGUGGUGAAAUGCGUAGAUAUCGGGAGGAACACCCGUGGCGAAGGCGGCCUUCUGGGCUGUUCCUGACGCUGAAGGCGAAAGCUAGGGGAGCGAACGGGAUUAGAUACCCCGGUAGUCCUAGCUGUAAACGAUGGAUGCUGGGUCUGGGGGGUGUAAAUUCCCUCUGUGCCGAAGCAAACGCGUUAAGCAUCCCGCCUGGGGACUACGGCCGCAAGGCUAAAACUCAAACGAAUUGACGGGGGCCCGCACAAGCAGCGGAGCGUGUGGUUUAAUUCGAUGCUACACGAAGAACCUUACCUGGGUUUGACAUGCACGUGGUAGGGAACCGAAAGGGGACCGACCUUCGGGAGCGUGCACAGGUGCUGCAUGGCUGUCGUCAGCUCGUGCCGUGAGGUGUCGGGUUAAGUCCCGUAACGAGCGCAACCCUUGCCCUUAGUUACAAGUGUCUAAGGGGACUGCCCGGGACAACUGGGAGGAAGGUGGGGAUGACGUCAAGUCAGCAUGGCCUUUAUAUCCAGGGCUACACACACGCUACAAUGGCCAGUACAAUAGGUAGCCAAGUCGUGAGACGGAGCCAAUCCUUAAAGCUGGUCUCAGUUCGAAUUGCAGUCUGCAACUCGACUGCAUGAAGCUGGAGUUGCUAGUAAUCGCAGGUCAGCCAUACUGCGGUGAUACGUUCCCGGGCCCUGUAGACACCGCCCGUCACGUCAUGUGAGCUGCAACGCCUGAGCCGGUGGCUACCCGAAAGGGGGGCAGCCGUCGAGGGUGGGGCUGGUAACUGGGACGAAGUCGUAACAAG
rnacentral:rRNA from 1 species